UUGGAGGGCAAGUCUGGUGCCAGCAGCCGCGGUAACUCCAGCUCCAAUAGCGUAUAUUAAUGUUGUUGCAGUUAAAAAGCUCGUAGUUGAAUUUCGGGAUUAGUACGUUGGUCGUGCCUUCGGUACGUACUGGUGUUACUGAUUCCUACCUUCUGACGAACCAUCAUGUCAUUAAUUUGGUGUGGCGGGGAAUCAGGACUGUUACUUUGAAAAAAUUAGAGUGUUUAAAGCAGGCUCGCGCUUGAAUACAUUAGCAUGGAAUAAUGAAAUAGGACGUUGAUCCUAUUUUGUUGGUUUCUAGGAUUGACGUAAUGAUUAAUAGGGAUAGUUGGGGGCAUUAGUAUUCAAUUGUCAGAGGUGAAAUUCUUGGAUUUAUUGAAGACUAACUACUGCGAAAGCAUUUGCCAAGGAUGUUUUCAUUAAUCAAGAACGAAAGUUAGGGGAUCGAAGACGAUCAGAUACCGUCGUAGUCUUAACCAUAAACUAUGCCGACUAGGGAUCGGAUGAUGUUAUUUUUAAUACUCAUUCGGCGCCUUACGGGAAAC
rnacentral:rRNA from 1 species